CACUAGAUGGCUGAAAGUAAGUAAUGGUCUCUUAAACCAAUUUAUAGUAAAUUAACAUCUAC
rnacentral:tRNA from 1 species